GGACAGGUGGUGCAUGGUUGUCGUCAGCUCGUGUCGUGAGAUGUUGGUUAAGUCCCGCAACGAGCGCAACCCUCGACCUUAGUUGCCAGCAUUCAGUUGGGCACUCUAAGGUGACUGCCGGCUAAAAGUCGGAGGAAGGUGGGGAUGACGUCAAAUCAUCAUGCCCCUUAUGACCUGGGCUACACACGUGCUACAAUGGGCGGUACAAAGGGUCGCGAACCCGCGAGGGGGAGCCAAUCCCAAAAAGCCGCUCUCAGUUCGGAUUGCAGGCUGCAACUCGCCUGCAUGAAGCCGGAAUCGCUAGUAAUCGCGGAUCAGCAUGCCGCGGUGAAUACGUUCCCGGGCCUU
rnacentral:rRNA from 1 species